UACGGGUGGUGCAAGUGUUAUUCCUAUUUACUGGGUGUAAAGGGUGCGUAGAUGGUAUGAAAAGGUUUAAAUUAACAUAAAAUUGUUUUUAUACUUUUCUUCUAGAAUUUAAAAGACAAUAGUGGAACUUCAUGCAUUAGAGUUAAAAUUCAUUUUAAAACUUGAAGGAACACCGAGGGUAAAUACAACUAUUGAUUUUAAAUUGACAUUGAGGCACGAAAGGAUGAGGAGCAAAUGGG
rnacentral:rRNA from 1 species